rnacentral:rRNA from 1 species
AUGGUGCUACUUUCUGGCCUUCUCCCUAAUCCCAAGCUGGAGACGGCCGUGCUCUCCAUCUGCUUGAACACAAACUCCUUGACGGGUACGGUCCCGAAUGGACUCUCUGCGGCCAUAAGUAGGCGCGUAUCCAACGAACUUGGAGCUGGGCGACGGCGGCCAGCCCUUUUGGCAGCCCGUGUUGUCAUCUUGUUGGCAUUCAUUGUAGGCACGGCGGAAGGGCUUGUCAUGGUCCUGGUGCGCAGAUUAUGGGGCUAUGCCUACAACAACGACAAGGAAGUGAUUGACUAUGUUGCGAGGAUGAUGCUCAUCCUUUCGAUCUCCGUCUUCUUCGACGGCUUCCACUACGUUCUCUCGGGUGUGUACAAACCAUGCCAUGCAUAUGUUUUGCUCCGGCUUGCUAUCUGUUUCGAUGCAGGAGUCGCCUGCCAUUCAUUCCCUUCACGCGAUUCCCGGCCUUCUUCUUCAUCAGCUACGGAGGUGCCAACACUGGAGGAGCCAAGGGCUGGGUUGGAGGGCAUUAUUAGGGGCAGCGGACAACAAAAGAUUGGCGCUUUGGUCAACUUCGUUGCGUAUUACCUUGUUGGUAUCCGUGCAGCAUUAGUUUUCACCUUCGUCUGCCAUCUUGGAGGAAUGGGGAUUUGGUUGGGAAUACUAAGCGGGCUGGUGGCGCAAACGGUCAUGCUUCUCCUCAUUUCCUUUUGCACCACUAAUUGGGACAAACAAGCGAUGAAGGCAAAGGAAAGAAUUUCAACUUGUUCGCUUCCAGGAGAAACAUCAUCGACCACAUGA